rnacentral:rRNA from 1 species
UACGGGGGGGGCAAGCGUUUGUUCGGAAUUACUGGGCGUAAAGGGCUCGUAGGCGGCCAACUAAGUCGGACGUGAAAUCCCUCAGCUUAACUGGGGAACUGCGUCCGAUACUGGAUGGCUUGGAUUUGGGAGAGGGAUGCGGAAUUCCAGGUGUAGCGGUGAAAUGCGUAGAUAUCUGGAGGAACACCGGUGGCGAAGGCGGCAUCCUGGACCAAUAUUGACGCUGAGGAGCGAAAGCUAGGGGAGCAAACGGG